AGAGACAGCAGUCGCCACGGUAAUACGAGGGGUGCAAGCGUUAUUCGGAUUGAUUGGGUGUAAAGGGUGUGCAGACGGCUUAUUAAGUCACUUGUUAAAUUCUUCGGCCUAACUGAAGGUCUGCAAGUGAUACUGAUGAGCUAGAGGGUGGAAGAGAGAAGUGGAAUUCUCGGAGUAGCGGUAAAAUGCGUAGAUCUCGAGAGGAACACCAAUGGCGAAGGCAGCUUCUUGGUCCAUUCCUGACGUUCAUACACGAAAGCGUGGGGAGCAAACAGGAUUAGAUACCCGCGUAGUCCCUGUCUCUUAUAC
rnacentral:rRNA from 1 species